GACGUAGGGAGCGAGCGUUGUCCGGAUUCAUUGGGCGUAAAGGGUCCGUAGGCGGCUCAGCAAGUCGGGUGUGAAAUCUCCAGGCUCAACCUGGAGGGGCCACUCGAUACUGCUGUGGCUUGAGUCCAGUAGGGGAGCAUGGAAUUCCCGGUGUAGCGGUGAAAUGCGCAGAUAUCGGGAGGAACACCAGUGGCGAAGGCGGUGCUCUGGGGCUGGAACUGACGCUGAUGGACGAAAGCGUGGGUAG
rnacentral:rRNA from 1 species